CCUAUAAGAACGCAGACUAAAACCGCCACGUCCUGUGGCAACGUCUGCAUGACCCGCGUCCUGCGGG
rnacentral:sRNA from 1 species